rnacentral:rRNA from 1 species
CCUACGGGAGGCUGCAGUGGGGAAUAUUGGACAAUGGGGGCAACUCUGAUCCAGCCAUGCCGCGUGUGUGAAGAAGGCCCUCGGGUUGUAAAGCACUUUCAGUGAGGAAGAACGCCUGGUGGUUAAUACCCAUCAGGAAAGACAUCACUCACAGAAGAAGCACCGGCUAACUCCGUGCCAGCAGCCGCGGUAAUACGGAGGGUGCGAGCGUUAAUCGGAAUUACUGGGCGUAAAGCGCGCGUAGGUGGCUUGAUAAGCCGGUUGUGAAAGCCCCGGGCUCAACCUGGGAACGGCAUCCGGAACUGUCAAGCUAGAGUGCAGGAGAGGAAGGUAGAAUUCCCGGUGUAGCGGUGAAAUGCGUAGAGAUCGGGAGGAAUACCAGUGGCGAAGGCGGCCUUCUGGACUGACACUGACACUGAGGUGCGAAAGCGUGGGUAGCAAACAGGAUUAGAUACCCUAGUAGUC